rnacentral:tRNA from 1 species
GCCCGGAUGGUCUAGUGGUAUGAUUCUCCCUUCGGGUGGGAGAGGUCCCGCGUUCGAAUCGCGGUUCGGGCC